AGAGUUUGAUCAUGGCUCAGGACGAACGCUGGCGGCGUGCUUAACACAUGCAAGUCGAGCGGAAAGGCCCUUCGGGGUACUCGAGCGGCGAACGGGUGAGUAACACGUGAGUAAUCUGCCCCUAGCUCUGGGAUAGCUCCGGGAAACCGGGAUUAAUACCGGAUACGACAACUACGGACAUCUGUUUUGGUGGAAAGAAUUUCGGCUAGGGAUGAGCUCGCGGCCUAUCAGCUUGUUGGUGGGGUAACGGCCUACCAAGGCGACGACGGGUAGCCGGCCUGAGAGGGCGACCGGCCACACUGGGACUGAGACACGGCCCAGACUCCUACGGGAGGCAGCAGUGGGGAAUAUUGCGCAAUGGGCGAAAGCCUGACGCAGCGACGCCGCGUGGGGGAUGAAGGCCUUCGGGUUGUAAACCCCUUUCAGCAGGGACGAAGCGAGAGUGACGGUACCUGCAGAAGAAGCGCCGGCUAACUACGUGCCAGCAGCCGCGGUAACACGUAGGGCGCAAGCGUUGUCCGGAAUUAUUGGGCGUAAAGAGCUCGUAGGCGGUCUGUUGCGUCCGCUGUGAAAACUCGGGGCUUAACCCCGAGCCUGCAGUGGAUACGGGCAGACUAGAGGUAGGUAGGGGAGAAUGGAAUUCCCGGUGUAGCGGUGAAAUGCGCAGAUAUCGGGAGGAACACCGGUGGCGAAGGCGGUUCUCUGGGCCUUACCUGACGCUGAGGAGCGAAAGCGUGGGGAGCGAACAGGAUUAGAUACCCUAGUAGUCC
rnacentral:rRNA from 1 species